rnacentral:lncRNA from 1 species
AUUUGGUUAUUGCAAACAGGUGAGGAGUCUGCAUAUAAGUUCCUGUUCUUCGUGGAGAAAGGGUGAAAUAGCAGCAGAGGUUGACCAUCUCUUCAAUGAGGGAGCUGAGGAUUUACCUCGCUAGUGAAAGGCUAAGCCAAGAUAGUCUGAGAGAAAAGAAUGGAUUUGAAAGGAGCGAUGUUUGAUUCAGGGGUAUCCAAGGAAGAGAAUUCAUCUUUAAAGUUUACUUCUUCAACCAGAAAAUUAAUAAAACACAGCACACCUGUGGAUACCACACUGUCUAAAAGUAUGAUUUCCAUAGAAAGUAUAUCCUACCUGAAAGAAGCUGGAAGUGAAAGGGGAACUCCUAUGGAGUCUCCCCUCCCCAAAACACCAUUUCUAGAAUUUUCAACUCAUCCAGAAACAAGAAGUCUUAAGCCUAUUGGCCAAAGGAAGAGACUUUCUACAGUAUCUGCUUCUGAGGAGUCCAGUGCAGAGGUACAAAAUAGCUUGAACCUCUCUUCAGCCAAGCAGGAACAUCAAAUUCCUGAUUCAUUAACCAAGAAACAGAGUGAGAUGUCCUUCGGAAAAUGGUGCUGUUAUGGAUUACCUGGAAUAAAGGACCCGCCUAAAAGAAAAGGCCGUUUUAAGAAGAGACUUGUGGUAAAGGACUUGACUCCAUGGGAACUUCGUCAACUCCAAAACAUUGAAGAAGCCACCCAUCAUGAGUUAGUUGUUGAAGCCACAUGAUGAUCUUCCAAGAAACCCUUUAAAUGAAUUCUUUUUGGAAAUUCUGUAACUUCUUCACAUAUAAAGAUUAAGUAAAUACUGUAUUCUGUUGUACCUAAACAAAUAAACCUCUUGCCUUGUGAUAUAAGGCA